GUGUCAGCAGCCGCGGUAAUACGUAGGGUGCGAGCGUUAAUCGGAAUUACUGGGCGUAAAGCGUGCGCAGGCGGUCUGUUAAGACCGAUGUGAAAGCCCCGGGCUCAACCUGGGAAUGGCCGUUGAAACUGGCGAACUGGAGUGUGGCAGAGGGGGGUGGAAUUCCGCGUGUAGCAGUGAAAUGCGUAGAGAUGCGGAGGAACACUGAUGGCGAAGGCAGCCCCUUGGGCUGACACUGACGCUCAGGCACGAAAGCGUGGGGAGCAAACAGGAUUAGAUACCCUGGUAGUCCACGCCCUAAACGAUGUCGACUGGGUGUUGGGGAAGCGAUUUCCCAGUACCGUAGCUAACGCGUGAAGUCGACCGCCUGGGGAGUACGGCCGCAAGGUUAAA
rnacentral:rRNA from 1 species